rnacentral:rRNA from 1 species
AGAGUUUGAUCCUGGCUCAGGAUGAACGCUAGCGACAGGCUUAACACAUGCAAGUCGAGGGGCAGCACAGGUAGCAAUACCGGGUGGCGACCGGCGCACGGGUGAGUAACGCGUAUGCAACUUACCUAUCAGAGGGGGAUAACCCGGCGAAAGUCGGACUAAUACCGCAUGAAGCAGGGGCCCCGCAUGGGGAUAUUUGCUAAAGAUUCAUCGCUGAUAGAUAGGCAUGCGUUCCAUUAGGCAGUUGGCGGGGUAACGGCCCACCAAACCGACGAUGGAUAGGGGUUCUGAGAGGAAGGUCCCCCACAUUGGUACUGAGACACGGACCAAACUCCUACGGGAGGCAGCAGUGAGGAAUAUUGGUCAAUGGGCGUAAGCCUGAACCAGCCAAGUCGCGUGAGGGAUGAAGGUUCUAUGGAUCGUAAACCUCUUUUAUAAGGGAAUAAAGUGCGGGACGUGUCCCGUUUUGUAUGUACCUUAUGAAUAAGGAUCGGCUAACUCCGUGCCAGCAGCCGCGGUAAUACGGAGGAUCCGAGCGUUAUCCGGAUUUAUUGGGUUUAAAGGGAGCGUAGGUGGAUUGUUAAGUCAGUUGUGAAAGUUUGCGGCUCAACCGUAAAAUUGCAGUUGAUACUGGCAGUCUUGAGUACAGUAGAGGUGGGCGGAAUUCGUGGUGUAGCGGUGAAAUGCUUAGAUAUCACGAAGAACUCCGAUUGCGAAGGCAGCUCACUGGAGUGUAACUGACACUGAUGCUCGAAAGUGUGGGUAUCAAACAGGAUUAGAUACCCUGGUAGUCCACACAGUAAACGAUGAAUACUCGCUGUUUGCGAUAUACAGUAAGCGGCCAAGCGAAAGCAUUAAGUAUUCCACCUGGGGAGUACGCCGGCAACGGUGAAACUCAAAGGAAUUGACGGGGGCCCGCACAAGCGGAGGAACAUGUGGUUUAAUUCGAUGAUACGCGAGGAACCUUACCCGGGCUUAAAUUGCAUUUGAAUAAUCUGGAAACAGUUUAGCCGUAAGGCAAAUGUGAAGGUGCUGCAUGGUUGUCGUCAGCUCGUGCCGUGAGGUGUCGGCUUAAGUGCCAUAACGAGCGCAACCCCUCUCCUUAGUUGCCAUCAGGUCAAGCUGGGCACUCUGGGGACACUGCCACCGUAAGGUGUGAGGAAGGUGGGGAUGACG